rnacentral:rRNA from 1 species
UCAAAUGAAUUGACGGGGGCCCGCACAAGCGGUGGAGCAUGUGGUUUAAUUCGAUGCAACGCGAAGAACCUUACCUACUCUUGACAUCCACAGAAGACUGCAGAGAUGCGGUUGUGCCUUCGGGAACUGUGAGACAGGUGCUGCAUGGCUGUCGUCAGCUCGUGUUGUGAAAUGUUGGGUUAAGUCCCGCAACGAGCGCAACCCCUAUCCUUAUUUGCCAGCACGUAAUGGUGGGAACUCUAGGGAGACUGCCGGUGAUAAACCGGAA